AUUGAACGCUGGCGGCAGGCCUAACACAUGCAAGUCGAACGAGUGGCGGACGGGCGAGUAAUGCUUGGGAAUCUAGCUUAUGGAGGGGGCUAACGACGGGAAAACGUAGCUAAAACCGCGAACGACAGGAUGAGGCCACGUGGGAUGAGGGAGUUGGUGAGGUAAAGGCUCACCAACCGACGCUCAUUAGCUGGUCUGAGAGGAUUACCAGCCACACUGGGACUGAGACACGGCCCAGACUCCUACGGGAGGCAGCAGUGGGGAAUAUUGCGCAAGGGGGGCAACCCUGACCCAGCCAUGCCGCGUGAAUGAAGAAGGUAUUCGGGUUGUAAAGUUCUUUUGGUAGCGAGGCGUUAUCUACAGAAGAAGCACCGGCUAACUCCGUGCCAGCAGCCGCGGUAAUAC
rnacentral:rRNA from 1 species